rnacentral:rRNA from 1 species
UGGGGAAUAUUGGACAAUGGGGGAAACCCUGAUCCAGCAAUGCCGCGUGAGUGAUGAAGGCCUUAGGGUUGUAAAGCUCUUUUACCCGGGAUGAUAAUGACAGUACCGGGAGAAUAAGCUCCGGCUAACUCCGUGCCAGCAGCCGCGGUAAUACGGAGGGAGCUAGCGUUGUUCGGAAUUACUGGGCGUAAAGCGCACGUAGGCGGCUAUUCAAGUCAGAGGUGAAAGCCCGGGGCUCAACCCCGGAAUAGCCUUUGAAACUAGAUAGCUAGAAUCUGGGAGAGGUGAGUGGAAUUCCGAGUGUAGAGGUGAAAUUCGUAGAUAUUCGGAAGAACACCAGUGGCGAAGGCGGCUCACUGGACCAGAAUUGACGCUGAGGUGCGAAAGCGUGGGGAGCAAACAGG